GAUGAACGCUGGCGGCGUGCCUAAUACAUGCAAGUCGAGCGAACGGACGAGAAGCUUGCUUUUCUGAUGUUAGCGGCGGACGGGUGAGUAACACGUGGAUAACCUACCUAUAAGACUGGGAUAACUUCGGGAAACCGGAGCUAAUACCGGAUAAUAUUUUGAACCGCAUGGUUCAAAAGUGAAAGACGGUCUUGCUGUCACUUAUAGAUGGAUCCGCGCUGCAUUAGCUAGUUGAUAAGGUAACGGCUUACCAAGGCAACGAUGCAUAGCCGACCUGAGAGGGUGAUCGGCCACACUGGAACUGAGACACGGUCCAGACUCCUACGGGAGGCAGCAGUAGGGAAUCUUCCGCAAUGGGCGAAAGCCUGACGGAGCAACGCCGCGUGAGUGAUGAAGGUCUUCGGAUCGUAAAACUCUGUUAUUAGGGAAGAACAUAUGUGUAAGUAACUGUGCACAUCUUGACGGUACCUAAUCAGAGAGCCACGGCUAACUACGUG
rnacentral:rRNA from 1 species